UACAGAGGGGGCAAGCGUUGUUCGGAAUUACUGGGCGUAAAGGGCGCGUAGGCGGCCUGCUAAGUCGAACGUGAAAUCCCUGGGCUCAACCCAGGAACUGCGUCCGAUACUGGUUGGCUUGAAUCCGGGAGAGGGAUGUGGAAUUCCAAGUGUAGCGGUGAAAUGCGUAGAUAUCUGGAGGAACACCGGUGGCGAAGGCGGCAUCCUGGACCGGUAUUGACGCUGAGGCGCGAAAGCUAGGGGAGCAAACGGG
rnacentral:rRNA from 1 species